CAGCAGCCGCGGGAAUACGUAGGUGGCAAGCGUUGUCAGGAAUUAUUGGGCGUAAAGGGCUCGCAGGCGGUUUCUUAAGUCUGAUGUGAAAGCCCCCGGCUCAACCGGGGAGGGUCAUUGGAAACUGGGAAACUUGAGUGCAGAAGAGGAGAGUGGAAUUCCACGUGUAGCGGUGAAAUGCGUAGAGAUGUGGAGGAACACCAGUGGCGAAGGCGACUCUCUGGUCUGUAACUGACGCUGAGGAGCGAAAGCGUGGGGAGCGAACAGGAUUAGAUACCCGGGUAGUCCCUGUCUCUUAUAC
rnacentral:rRNA from 1 species